rnacentral:rRNA from 1 species
GGGGAAUAUUGGACAAUGGGCGAAAGCCUGAUCCAGCCAUGCCGCGUGAGUGAUGAAGGCCUUAGGGUUGUAAAGCUCUUUUGCCAGGGAAGAUAAUGACGGUACCUGGAGAAUAAGACACGGCUAACUUCGUGCCAGCAGCCGCGGUAAUACGAAGGUGUCUAGCGUUGUUCGGAAUCACUGGGCGUAAAGCGCGCGCAGGCGGACUAUCAAGUCAGGGGUGAAAGCCUGAGGCUCAACCUCAGAAUUGCCUUUGAAACUGAUAGUCUAGAGUGUGUGAGGGGGUAGCGGAAUUCCAAAUGUAGAGGUGAAAUUCGUAGAUAUUUGGAGGAACACCGGUGGCGAAGGCGGCUACCUGGCACACAACUGACGCUGAGGCGCGAAAGCGUGGGGAUCAAAC